GAUCCUGGCUCAGGACGAACGCUGGCGGCGUGCCUAAUACAUGCAAGCCGAGCGAGCUGAAUUCAAAGAUCCCUUCGGGGUGAUUUGUUGGACGCUAGCGGCGGAUGGGUGAGUAACACGUGGGCAAUCUGCCCUAAAGACUGGGAUACCACUUGGAAACAGGUGCUAAUACCGGAUAACAACAUGAAUCGCAUGAUUCAAGUUUGAAAGGCGGCGCAAGCUGUCACUUUAGG
rnacentral:rRNA from 1 species